AAAGGAAUAGACGGGGGCCCGCACAAGCAGCGGAGCAUGUGGUUUAAUUCGAAGCAACGCGAAGAACCUUACCAAGGCUUGACAUCCCUCGAAGUACAUAGAAAUAUGUACGCCCUUCGGGGCGAGGAGACAGGUGGUGCAUGGUUGUCGUCAGCUCGUGUCGUGAGAUGUUGGGUUAAGUCCCGCAACGAGCGCAACCCCUACUCUUAGUUACCAGCGGGUAGAGCCGGGGACUCUAGGAGGACUGCCGGGGACAACUCGGAGGAAGGUGGGGACGACGUCAAAUCAUCAUGCCCCUUAUGUCUUGGGCUACACACGUGCUACAAUGGCCGCAACAAAGGGAAGCGAGAGGGUAACCUGGAGCGGAUCCCAUAAAAGCGGUCCCAGUUCGGAUUGUGGGCUGCAACCCGCCCACAUGAAGUUGGAGUUGCUAGUAAUCGCGAAUCAGCAUGUCGCGGUGAAUACGUUCCCGGGCCUUGUACACACCGCCCGU
rnacentral:rRNA from 1 species